AAUCAACGCUGGCGGCGUGCCUAACACAUGCAAGUCGAACGCGAAAGCCCCUUCGGGGGCAAGUAGAGUGGCGUCCGGGUGAGUAACACGUGGGUAAUCUACCUCCGGGUGGGGAAUAACUCGCCGAAAGGCGGGCUAAUACCGCAUAAUGCAGCGGCACCGAAUGGUGAUUAGUUGUUAAAGCGGGGGACCUUGGGGCCUCGCGUCUGGAGAGGAGCCUGCGGCAGAUUAGCUUGUUGGUAGGGAAUGGCCUACCAAGGCUGCGAUCUGUAGCUGGUCUGAGAGGACGGCCAGCCACACUGGCACUGACACACGGGCCAGACUCCUACGGGAGGCAGCAGUGGGAAUUUUGGGCAAUGGGCGAAAGCCUGACCCAGCAACGCCGCGUGAAGGAGGAAAUCCUUCGGGAUGUAAACUUCACAAGCAAGGGAAGAGCGCGCAGGGUCGAAUAAACUCUGCGUCCGACGGUACCUUGCGUAAGCCACGGCUAACUACGUGCCA
rnacentral:rRNA from 1 species